CCCCCCUGUACAGCAGGAUAAAUUGGUCCUCCAAUUUUACCUUUGUGUGCAGACUACAGGUCUUAGGAAGGCAACGUGAAUUGCGCCAAAAAAAUAUAUAGUUAUAAGAAGCGUCUAAACUAUUAUAGCAUUGAUAGCAUUUUGCGCUUAUUAAAAUAAUUGGGUGUUAUUUUCUUUUAGAUGAUGUCUGGCUGUUGAUACACUUGUUUUUUCUUUUUAUCACUCGGAAUUUUCGGAAUAGAUUUCGAAUGCUAGUUUCGUCAUCUAUAUAGUCCUGUGCAUACUUCCCGUCCGCAUUGAGGUUAUCAUCUCGAGCUCCUCGACUUUCCUUUGAUGUGCGUGAUCUUCUAUUGAUGAAUUCCGCUGGACAUACUUCCGCGACGAAUUUGUUGUUAUAUUUAGCAGCAUAAUGGAGCACUGUUUCUUCAUCCAGCGUUUGGUGUACAAUAAUGCGAUCCAUCCACAAGUAUUUAAUACAUUCCAUAUUAUUGAGAGCUAUAGCCACUAGUAAUGGUGGCUCUCCCAUGCUGUUUUGGAUGUUGAAUGUAUUACCGUGAUGGGAUAGAAUACGGAGUAAAUGGACAUUAUUAUCUGCUGCUGCUCGGUGUGCUAUUGUCAUCCCCUCUUCGUAAAUAUUGCUAUCAGCUCCGUAUUGAAGGAACAUAUCCGUCACAUCGUAUCUUUCUUUUAUCACACUCCCGUGUAAUAAUGUUGUUCCAUUGGGGAAAACAGUGUCCAGAAUCUGUUUUAUGUUUUUCCCAAUUUCUCUUGCUUCUAGGUAGGUGAUUUCUGAUCAUUUCUCUUGAUACUUCCAGCAAAUUGUAGUUGAAUUCUCCUUUCAUCAACAUCGUCAUGGCGACGAUUCUUCUUCGCGUUAUCUCCGUGUCCAUAGCUGGGAAUGUUUUCAUCAUACAGUUUUUACAGUAGGCCGUUUGUGUUAUUAAGGGAUUUUCUCAGGCACGAUCACUGUUUGACCGAAAAAGUUCAUAGUCACGCGGUGAAUAUUUCUCCAUUGGAACAGCUCUCGUGGAAUUCAUUUUUGGCUUGCAACAGCAUCAGGAAAUUGAAUAAUUCCCAUAUUCUUCGGUUCAGAACAAUCGCACACAAUUGUCUCAAAUGCCUGCGGGUGUAACCCGUAAAAGCAUAGCAGCAGUAGGAAUGGUAACGAGGACAUUUGUACAUGUAAAAAUAUAUGGUAAAUAAAAAAAAAAAUGAACAGUA